GGGGGCGAACGGUAUCGACUGGGAUGGCAGAAGCGAGGCUGCGCGUCGAGGUGGUCUGGGUCCUCGUAAAACACCCGGACGGCGAAUAAACGCCAAUACACAGUACGCUUACGCUGCCUAAGUAGCAGCGUACGUCCACCCGGGAGGGCUGGCGGUCCGGGAUGGGCGCCAACAGCCGGCUACCGCGCGGCGACUGGCCCGGCCGCUGCCGCGGGAACCCUAAUGGGCUGGCGUCAGAGAGAUCUGGCUCGGGUGAGCUCCCAGACGCGAGACCAAAAACCUGAGAUACACGCGUAGACGCCUUGCCCUCGCGAUCACAGGACGUGGGUUCGAUUCCCACCGCCUCCACCA
rnacentral:tmRNA from 1 species